CUCACACUCCACCCCGCUCCUGUCAGCUCUUCAGGAGCUUCUUGGUCAGCGUAAGCUUAAAAUUGAAAAGAAAAUCCUGCUGAGUUUUCUUGAUGAGUGUAACCGUUGUGCCCCGUGGUUUAUAGUGUCAGGGUCGCUCACUUUGAGAGCAUGGGAGAGGCUGGGAAAAGAUCUGGAUAAGGAGACUACUGUGGGCAAGCUUAAACCAGGGACAAGGCCGCUUUGGCGUAUGAUCCAUGCCUGCUUGGAAGAUAAACGAUGUGAAGAAGCUGUUAGGACAGAUCAGAGAAUCCUUACAGAGCAACAGGAGAGUAUGUCAGAAGGAGAGAAAGUUUUGAAGGAAGGAAAGAAAAGAAAAGGAGGAAAAGAGGUAAAAGAAAAGGCAGAAAAGAUCAAGGAGAGGAUAGACAAAGGCGAGAAUAGUAAUCAGGAUCUAGGAAC
rnacentral:lncRNA from 1 species